AGUGAAUCUGUCGGGCCAUGGAGUUUGCCAGGCAGGAGGAUCGCGAGCGCAGGAGUAGAAUUGGGUGGUGGAGGGGAGUAGUUUGAGUCUAGUUUUGAAUGUAGAAGACUUCCUUCCAGUCCUGGAAGCCUGGUUGCUGCAGCGAGGAGCUGAGACACCUGCCGAGUGAUUGCCAUUUGCGAAACACAGCACUAGAAUACUUCUUGUGGAAAAAGCCAGGCCUUGCCUGUGGGUGUCCCAGUGAUUAAGAACCUAAGAGGCGCCAUGGCUCACGCCUGUAAUCCCAGCACUUUG
rnacentral:lncRNA from 1 species